AGUCUGCAACUCGGCUGCAUGAAGCUGGAAUCGCUAGUAAUCGCGAAUCAGAAUGUCGCGGUGAAUACGUUCCCGGGUCUUGUACACACCGCCCGUCACACCAUGGGAGUUGGAAAUGCCCGAAGUCAGUGACCCAACCGAAAGGAGGGAGCUGCCGAAGGCAGGUCUGAUAACUGGGGUGAAGUCGUAACAAGGUAGC
rnacentral:rRNA from 1 species